AUUUUUAUAAUGUAAUUAAACAUAUUAUUUUUUCAAAGUAAAAUUGGAUUUUCCUAAAAAUA
rnacentral:tRNA from 1 species